UUUAAGAACUAGAUUGUGUGCAUUUCAGUGGAAGAACUAGAUUGUGUGCAUUUCAGUGGCUACUGAGUUGCACACAAUCUAGUUCUUCUACUGAAAUGCACACAAUCUAGUUCUUC
rnacentral:pre_miRNA from 1 species